AGUCUGACGGAGCAACGCCGCGUGAGCGAUGAAGGUCUUCGGAUCGUAAAGCUCUGUUGUUAGGGAAGAACAAGUACCGUUCGAAUAGGGCGGUACCUUGACGGUACCUAACCAGAAAGCCACGGCUAACUACGUGCCAGCAGCCGCGGUAAUACGUAGGUGGCAAGCGUUGUCCGGAAUUAUUGGGCGUAAAGCGCGCGCAGGCGGUUUCUUAAGUCUGAUGUGAAAGCCCACGGCUCAACCGUGGAGGGUCAUUGGAAACUGGGAGACUUGAGUGCAGAAGAGGAGAGCGGAAUUCCACGUGUAGCGGUGAAAUGCGUAGAGAUGUGGAGGAACACCAGUGGCGAAGGCGGCUCUCUGGUCUGUAACUGACGCUGAGGCGCGAAAGCGUGGGGAGCAAACAGGAUUAGAUACCCUGGUAGUCCACGCCGUAAACGAUGAGUGCUAAGUGUUAGAGGGUUUCCGCCCUUUAGUGCUGCAGCAAACGCAUUAAGCACUCCGCCUGG
rnacentral:rRNA from 1 species